rnacentral:rRNA from 1 species
UACGUAGGGUGCAAGCGUUAAUCGGAUUUACUGGGCGUAAAGGGCGCGUAGGCGGUCAGCACAAGUCAGUUGUGAAAUCUCCGGGCUUAACUCGGAAAGGUCAACUGAUACUGCGGGGCUAGAGUGCGGAAGGGGCAACUGGAAUUCUCGGUGUAGCGGUGAAAUGCGUAGAUAUCGGGAAGAACACCCGUGGCGAAGGCGGCUCUCUGGAACGCAACUGACGCUGAGACGCGAAAGCGUGGGGAGCAAACAGG